rnacentral:lncRNA from 1 species
UGAAAUGUCAACACAGGAUCUAAUAUUGCUCCCGGGGCACAUCUAAGGAAACUGGUAGCACCCACACAGGUCUGUGAGUCCAAUAGCAUUCUCAGAAACCCUUCCAAGCCAAGGAAUGUGAAGUGGGAUGGCGAGACCACCAGCAAUUACCUGGAACACAGCCAAGGCCCUAGUGCUGAAACGAUGUUCUCGCUACCUCAGCCCCUAGGUGGGGCUGUGCAGAAGAUGGAUAACAGCAGUUGAAGAUCUUAAGAGAAAAAAGACUGACCUUCCCUUAGGAAGACACAACUCUACCUUCAGACUGACUUCCAACUUGAGCAACAUCAACUCUUCCUUGCAUCUCCAGCAUGCUGGCCUGCUCUGCAGAUACUGAAUUUGACAGCCCCACAACCAUGCCACGGGCAUUCCAUUUUAUGAAGACACUCAACAGAAGCUUCUUAAACAGAACCAAAUGUAUGAUAACACAUCAGACAAGGGCCAGCAAGUGAACGUUGUGGACACAUAGGUGACUGCUUAUCUCAGUGCAUGGCCGUAGACAGAUUGUGGUCAUGGUCUUUCAGCAGGCAAAACUAUAAUGAAUGUUACAGCACUGUAUCAUCAAUCAGCACCACUGGGAAAUGGAAAAAGAGUUCCAGAAGUCCUCGUUUUGGAGAAGACGCUAAUUUAGGGAACUGGACCAGUCAUCUGGGAGGCAUGAAGGAGUACAAAUGGAAUCACGGGGGAGGCAAUGGAAGGAUGAAGAUUGGAAGAGAAAUUGCAAUCACCGGACAAAUGUCCAGAGUUUAAUGGGGAGCCAGUGAGCCCAUCUUCAGGACUUCAGGCUGCCCAUUCUGUACCCUUCCCAUUCUUGCCCACCACCACAGAUACUAUUCUCCCCAUCCCAUGUUCUCUGGCAUGGAUCUGCCAGCAUAAGAAUGCGUUCCUCUUUCUUACAUUACACUUCAUUGUAAAUUGCUGGAUUUGGUAGAACUGAAGAGAUUUCAAAACAAUAAAAAGAGAAAUAGAACUAUUUGAGGCCGGGCACGGUGGCUCACGCCUGUAAUCCUAGCAUUUUGGGAGGCCGAGGAGGGGGGAUCACGAGGUCAGGAGAUCGAGACCAUCCUGGCUAACACGGUGAAACCCUGUCUCUACUAAAAAUACAAAAUAUUAGCUGGGCGAGGUGGUGCACGCCUGUAGUCCCAGCUACUCGAGAGGCUGAGGCAGGAGAAUGGCGUGAACCCGGGAGGCAGAGCUUGCAGUGAGCCGAGAUCGCGCCACGGCACUCCAGCCUGGGCGAUAGAGCGAGACUCCAUCUCAAAAAAUAAGAAAACAAACAAACAGAGAAAUAGAACUACUUUGCCUUUGUGAAAGAAUGAAAUCUAAUUUCUUUAAUUGCUAAAUCUUGAUUAAGCCUUCAACUUCUGAUGAAGCAGAACUCAUCUAUCACAAGUUAUUAGAUUUCUAACAAAUAAUCCACAUGGAAUGGGGCUUACACAUUUUCCCUUAGGUAUAUUUUAAAGAAAUUUGUAACUGCCUCCUACUAAAUACUACAGUUUACAUUCUUCACAAAUAUUCUGAAUACGUUUUUCGAAAUGCAACGAAAGGUAGUUUUUUUUUUCUAAUAAAAAUUGAUACAAAUUAGGAUGAGAAACUCUAGGGAAUUCCUGAACCCCUAGAAAAUUUGCAUAUCCCUAAUAAACCAAGAGGACAGAGAAUCCUAUGUCUUUUAAAACUGGGAUGUGCUAUGGAAUUUAUGAGGCAACAUAAUAAAUAUAGUGCAUCUUUCUGCAUCACCAAUUUAACUCAAUUAAUAGAAACAUGUUUUUUUCUAAUUAAAAGGGAGAGAUAAAUCAUGGAAUUUGAUUUCCAUAAAACACAAGAUUUAAAACUAUCUUGACUACGGGGGGUGAUAUUGUAGAAAAUCAGCAGAACCACGGGGUUAGAAGCUCGUUAUUUUCUGUCAGGGAUAUUUCAAGUAUGAGAAAUGUUAAUGUUUCUCUGUGGAUGAAACUAAGGAAGUGCAGACUAUAGAAAAUCCAAAUUAUGACUUCAAUUGUACACAAGUUUAUAUAAGAUUCUUAUUACUGACUUUAAAAUAUAUAAUAGCAUCACCUUAUCUAGACUCAUAGUGGGCACAACAGACCAUCAGUUAAGUAUUUUGAUGGAACUAAUAAAACAUUAACUUUUCUUUCUUAUUUGCUGAAAAUGUAGCAAAUAAUAUUUUUAAUAUUAAGAAAUGUGUCUUUACUAAUACUUAAAUAAGGCAACCUUAGUUUCAUAAUGCUGUUAUGUAAAAAAUAUAAUUUUAUAUUAACUCAUGUAUAAUUGGGGUCAUAACUUACAUAUGCUACAUUCUGAAUUUCUUUAAGCCCUUAGUUUAUUUUAGUUUCGAAAUAAAAUAAAGCUUCACAAUUCCACUCAAUUGUACUGCUUGUUUAAUCAGAGACCACCCACAAAAGAUGGCACUUCUCAUACCCUUUGUUUAGUGGACACUCCCCACUCCACACAUCUCUGCUGUUAUGUUAGGGAAACUAUACAAAAAUGCUGCUAGAAAAUAGGAUGAAUGAAGUAUUGUUGUUCCUAUCCUAAUACGUAAGUCAAAAAAUAAAAAGUAAAACACAUGAAAAGGAAAUCUUUCUAAAAAUAUGAUCCAAAGAAUUGGCCAAAAGAAAGAACAAUCUGAAAGAUCUUACUUUUGAAAUGUGAAUUUAAUUGCUUUCAGUAUUUUUGAUAGAAAAUGCAUUAGAUUAUUUUCAUUAACCUAAUACAAAACAAUUCCAAAGAUUGCUUCCAGAUACUCCAAACAAAUAAGUUUGCCAACAGUAUUCUAAAAUAAAGUAGAAAAUGUCCUAGUAUGAUUCUAAGCUGUUCCUUCAAGGUCAGCAUUCUCUCUUAUCAGAAAUAUAGAUGAAAAAGACAUCUGUAACUGACACUUCGAUUUCUAUAGAUUUGCUUGCAAAAUAAAUAGAAUUUAUAAUCCUAGUAAGUGAAAUAGUUACCAAUGAAGAUAUCUAAAAGAGAGGGCUAAAACUAAGCUGAUUAGCUUAAAAGUAGCCCUCUAGACUAAACUCAUUUGUGAACUAAUUACAUGAUGCAAAGUAAUCAGUCCGGCCAAUAUACUCAUAUUUUUUUAAGAUUUUAUUUUUAUUUUAAAUGCUUAACAUAGUUUUCAGACUUGUUUCUCUUGUGUCUUGAAGUCUUUGUCCACAGAUGUGGUUAUAGUCUGCAACAAAGGUCAUCUGAGAGCCUAAGCAGGUACUGACUUAAUUCUACCAUAAGGAGCAGAUCCAACCCUCAGUCUAAUUUCAUCCAACACAAAUAAACACUUUCAAGUACCAGUGUUUCUUGACAUGCUAGUUUUGUUAAAAUGCAGUAUUACAAUAUUCAGUGACUGUUUUUAAAAGGCUAUAACAUGGUGAUAUUGUGUGAGCAAAUACGUAAGCAUGUCCCUCACUCUGCAUCUUUUUCUUAAUAUGAACGGUUUCUUUCUAUGUAUUUGUAUUUUCAUGUCUAUUUUUAUGAGUGUCUCUCUGACUCUUCUUUAUUUUCUCCUGUCUUUCCCUUUCCACUCUGUCUUUUCUCCUCAAUAGGCUAAAUAUGAAAAUAUUUAAUGUUAUUGUUACUAUAAAAUUAUGCAUCAUAGGACCAGUUGAAAAUGCUUAUAAUAUACACAUGAAAAUAAAAAUCAGCCAACGAUAGCCAUUAUUAUCCAUUAUACUUUUGGUAAGUUUGCUUCCCGUGUCUUUUAUGUGUGUAUUUAAAUGCAGGUUAAUUUCUAAAUGCAUGCAAUUGUUUUCAAAAUUGAUGCUUCAACCUAUGAUAAAGGAGAGUGUUAAUGAAUUGUAGUGCCCCCCCGCCAUGUACUACUUACUAGUGUCUUUACCAACAUAAAAGCCAAAAAAUGAGCUAAAGUCUGUAUUUACCAUCUCCAUCAUCAUCAUCACUACUCAUAACAUUAAUCAGACAGCACCUCCAUCAUUCCCUUUUUCCCUUAUCUUGCUUUAUCCUUUGGGUAUGUGUUACCACCUGACAUAUCUCUUAGCUUAUUUAUUUAUUGAUCAUCUCUCCUAAUAGAAUAUAAACCCCAUAAGAGCAAGGAAUUUGGUGUUUGUUCAUCACUACAUCCCUAGCACUAGAAUAGUGUACAAGCAAAUAGUAUGCACUCAAUAAAUAUUUGUGGAAUACAUAAAUUAUAUGUAGUUUCACGUUUUUGGUACUUAAUUUUAAGAGAGUAGUCUUUGUAUUUUCAUCAUGUAUUUUAUGGUUUAAAAUGAUAUUUAUGACAGAAUAGUUGCUUUUUACCCCCUUUUCUUUUAAUAGGGGACAGAAAAGAUUUCUUAAAGCUAAUCUAUACAAACAUGACUUCUAUCACCAAUGACUCUUACUCCAGAUUAUGUGUAAAAUAAAGCAUUUUAUUUCUAGUAUUUGUCUUUGUCUCACUCUUUCUACCUCCUCUCUCUCUCGUUCUCUCCUUUCCUCCCUCCUUCUAUUUACCAAAAUAAAAACAUUGAGGCUAUAGGUUUUAUUCGUUCAAAUGGCUAAAAAUUAAACAAGAUAUAAAUAUUUUCCUUUGGAUACUAGAAGAAAAAAUAGAAACAUAAAAUUUACAAUUUACAACACAAUACAAAACAAUUGGGCUUAGAGCACACCAACUGGUCCAGUAUAAUCUCUGUCAGCUUCACAUUAAUAGGACAAAUAGUGAUGGAGUAACCCUCAGAAGUUAUUACACAGGGAGUAGCUCAUUGUGUCUAAAUCCAGCCCCUAUCACUUGCUAUGUGACCAUGCCCGGAUCACUCAAGUUCUGGUACUGUUUCUUCACUUAUAAAAAGGAUAAUAAUAUUACUUACUCUAAAGUUUGUUGAAUAGGUUAAAUAACAUCAAAAGCAUUAGCAGAGGUACAUAAGUGCUGAAUUAAUGUUACCUUCUAAUAUUACUGUUAAAUAUAUAAACAGGCAAAUUUUAAGACACCUGUGGUUUGUCCCACUCAUAGGAAGACAAAUAAAAAUGAGUGAAUAGGUGAAAAGGGCAAAUAAAUCACAGUCAAUUUCCAUUUGAGAAUAUCUCCUCCAACUAGAGCAAUAGUGAAAUUCAUUCAAAAUAAACACAAUUGAAAGACCCAAUCUCCUGGCAAAUCACUUACUGAAUUUCAUGAUACCACACUUCCCUGUUUUACUCUUUCCUCUCUAGCCAUUUCUUCUAUGUGUCCAAAGGCUUUCUGCACUUCCACUGGCCGUUAAAUAUUGAAUUUCUUGGAGACUCUUUUCUUCUUCCUCUAAGGUCUAUUCCAGGGCUAUCCCAUUUACACCCAAGGCUUCAGUUACCUCUCCUGUGCAGUUGACUCACCAUUGCUAUGUUCUAAAUCUGUGUUGAAUCCUAAUCACUAAGUCGAUGGUAUUAGAAGGCAGGGCCUAUGAGAGAUGAUUAGGUGAUGAGGGCAAGCACCCGCAUGAACAGGAUUAGUGCCCUUAUGAAAGAGGCCUCUGAGCUGCCUUGCCUCUUCCACCAUGUGAGGAAACAAUGAAAAGUCAGCAAUCUGCAACCUGGAAGAGGACCAUCACCUGAAUCUAACCUGCUAGUACCAUGAUCUUGGACUUCCCAGCUUCCAGAAAACCAUGCUAAGUAGUUAUGCUUAUCUUAGGAAGAAAGAGAAUUCAUUCAGGGGUUUUCAGGAGCAUAUUUGAUCUACAUUUGAAAAGCAUUACUUAGGCUGCAAUUUGGAGUAUAGGUUGGUUGGGGUACUGAGAGGAAGUGAGUAUAAGUAGAUGAUGCAGGAGGCACAGUCCAGGUGAUAAAUUAAUGUAGCCUAAGCUGGGUUGAAGAAUGUGGAGGAAAGUGAGUAGGUUCAAGAAAUGUUUAGAAGGGAAAAGCAAUGAAAUAUGGUGAUAUGUAUAACAAUGAAAUAUGGUGAUACGUAUAAGCAAUAAAUAUGGAGAGAUGGCUAGCCAGUUGACUAAUUAGAGAUGGUUUAUGACUUAUUCAAUUGGAUGAAUGGACAUACCAUUCCCUGAGAUAGGCAGAUGACAGAUUUGGUAGAAAAACAGAAGAAUGAGAUGGACCUUUUGAGUUAGAAAGGGCUUGAGACACACAAGAAGGUAGCCAGGUAGACACUUAGAUAUGAAAGUCUGGAGACAGUCAUGAUCCAGCCAAAUGAAUGUGUGUCUUAGUUCAGUCAGCUAUGGCAAGAUACUAUAUAAAGUGAGUAUCUUGUAAACAACAUAAAUUUAUUCCUCACAGUUCUGGAAGCCCUAAAAGUUCAACUUUUCUUUGCCUUACGUCAAGAGGAUAGAAAAGAGAAGGUAAAUGUUGGCUUGUGUAUAGGGGGAUCAAUAUGUUGCUCCAGGUUUCUAUAACACAUUUUAGCUAUUCCAUACUUAUUUAUUGAAUAUUCAAUUGAAUGGAGACAUAAUCUCAGAGGAUAAAGGUAUUUAAGUGUUCCCUUUUUGCCACACUUCUUAAUUUUUUUUCAAUGAGCAAACAAUCUUAAAUAUUUUCUUUUACAUUAUACAACAUCAUCAAAAUUUGACUCUGAGAUAGUUGGACCUUAGAAAGUAUUCAAGAAAUUUUUAUUCAUUUUAAAAUAUCCUGUUCAGAAAUUUGUUUUCCUUUUCCUUUUACAGACCCUUUUACUUAGAAUACCAAUAAAAUCACUUUUAUAUGACUAGGAAAUACAUAGUUUUAUUUUGAAAAUUAUCCUUACACAUUUGCCUGUCAAUGCAUUAAAAAAUUUAUUUUCUUAAUAGUCUUUCAGUGACCAUAAUUUCCACAGAGAAUGUGAAUCCUCAAGAGCCGAUAUGAUUUAAUGUGUGUCCCCUCCAAAUCUUAUGUUGAAAUUUGAUCCCCAGUGCUGGAAAUUGGGCUUGGUGGGAGGUGUUUGGGUCAUGGGAGUGAAUUUCUCACCAAUGGUUUGGUACCCACCCCAUGGCAAUAAGUGAGUUCUUGCUCUGUUAAUUCACAGGAGAGCUGGUUGUUCAAAGGAGCUUGGCUCUGCCCCUUGCUCUCUCUCUUUGCUCCCUCUCUCACCAUGUGAUGGGCUGACUCCCCCGUCACCUUCUGACAUGAGUAAAAGCUUCCUGAGGCCUCACCAGAAGCAGAUACUGGUGCCAUGCUUCCUGUACAGCUCGCAAAACCAUGAGCCAAUUAAACCUCUUUUCUUUCUAAAUUAACCAGCCUGAGGUAUUUCUUUAUAGCAACACAAAAACUGACUAAUGUAAAAGCCUUUGUACAUACACUUCAGGAAGUUAAAAUGUAAUAAAAACAGGUUCCCUCAACAUCCUCCUCAAGGCAUGUUGGUAGACAUGACAGAAGGUAGAAUGUAAUCUAAUAAUUUUACUUCCCUACUUAAAACUCUCCAAUUAUUCCUACUACCCUUACCAAAAACAAAACAAAACAAAACAAAAAAAACAAAAAAAACAAAACUUUCUGUUAAGGUUUAUGGAUUCACCAGCAGGCCAUGAACAGCCCCAGUUUAGAUCUGUUGUCUUGGCUUAAUUAUCGAACUCUAUAUUAAUCUUUACAUAUUCUGGUUUGUGUGACAAACAUACCUGUCUUACCUAAAGGACCUGCAUGAUCUGGCUGCCCUGUUGAUCACUUGCGCCUUCUCCCUCACCACUUCCCCACUGUGCACUCUAUACUCUGGCCCCACUACACCUGUCUCACUAAACUCUGUCCCCUAGAUUUCCCCAUAAAUCACUCCUGCAUCAAUUAGUCCCCUUUCCACACCCAGGGAGCCAACUCUUUCGUUUUCUUUUCUUUUUCUCUUUCUUUUCUUUUCUUUAUGCUGGAGGGCAGUUGUGUGACUACAGCUCAGCCUCAAUGUCCUUGGCUCAAGCAAUCCUCCCACUUCAGCCUCCCAGGUAGCUGCACCAGCAUGCCUGGCUAAUUUUUUUUAUUUUUUAUUUUUUGUAGAUACUGGGUCUCCCUGUGUUGCCUAGGCUAGUCUAGAACUCUUGGCCUUAAGUGAUCCUCCUGCUUCCCAAAAUGUUGGAAUUACAGGCAUGAGCUACUGUGCCUGGCCAGAGCAACCUCUUACUAAUCUAUCAGUUCUCACUUAGACAUCACCACUUCCAAGGGCAUGGCUGCCUAGGCAAUGUGGUCUUACAGCACUGUGACUCACUCAUUGCACAGCAUUUUAAUUUCUUUGUUUUACUGCCUGCAUCUUCAGACUUGGGACUGCAGAGGAUCUGUCUUGUCUCCCAUACUCAGCAUAAUUUCUGGCACAUAGGAAAUGGUAAAAUAUUUAUUACAUAAAUGAGCAUGGGUAUAGUGGUCUACUUUCUAAUUUGCAACAGGCUUUUACAUAUAUCUUAUUCAAACAACACUAAAUAUCAACAUUCGCAUAAUUAUAUAAGAAACUAUUAUUCAGAAAGAUUUCAUUUGGGUGUAACUGUUAAGCAUUAUAGUUUUGAGUCAGUCUCAUUCAAAUCCUAGCCCUGCCACCUAUUAGCCAUGUGACUUUGAGUAUCUUACUUCGUCUCCUGAAGCUUUGUUUUUUAAAGCCUACCUAUUGGGUAUUUGGGGAAGAUUAAAUAAUAUCAUGCAUAUAAAGUGUUUAGUGUAAUAUCUUCACUAUGCUAAAUAACAAACUGUGGCUGCUUCUGAUCUCUCUGACAGUAUAAAAGAAAAUGCUGAUGUAUACUUUUUUUUCCUUUUUCCUUUGAAAUAGUUUUACUUUAUAUAUAUAUUUACUGAGGUAAAAUACACAUAUUUAAUUUACCACCUUUACUAUUUUUAAGUGUGUAGUUCAAAGGUAAUAAACACACACACGCAAACACACACACACACACACACACGCACACACAUAUAUAUAUAUAUUUCCUUUUAUCUCUCCUCUCCCUCUUCCCUUCCUGGCCUCUAGUGGCCAGGAAUCUAUUCUCUAUCUUCAUGAGGUCCACUUUUAUUAACUUCUCCAUAUGAGUGAGAAUAUGCAAUAGUUGUCUUUCUCUGCUUGGCUUAUUUCACUUAGCAAAUGGACUCCAGUUUCAUCUAUGUUGCUGCACAUGACACAAUUUCAUUCUUUUUGUGGCUGAAUAAUAUCUCAUUGUGUAUAUGUAUCACAUUUUCUUUAUCCAUUUAUCUUUUGAUGGACACACAGUUCCAUAUUUUAGCUAUUGUGAAUAGUGCUGUGAUAAAUAUGGGAGUGCAGGUAUAUCUUUGAUAUAUUGAAUUUCAUCUUUUUGGCCAUAUGCCCAGUAGUGAAAUUGCUGGAUCAUAUGGAAGUUUUAGUUUUAGUUUUUUGAGGAACCUCCAUCCUGUUCUUCAUAUUGGCUUUACUAAUUUACAUUCCCAGUAACAGUAAUGGGGGUUCCCCUUUCUCCACAUCCUCACCAGGCUCUGUUAUUGUCUGUUUUUUUGAUAGAAGCCAUUUUAACUGGAGUGAGAUGAUUCUGUAUUUGGUUUUGAGUCUUUUCAAGAGAUGGCACUGAUAAAACUGGAUAACUGUAUGCAGAAGAAUGAAACUAGAACCCUGUCUCUUACCAUUCAUAAAAAUCAAAUCAAAAUGGGUUAAAGAUUAAUUCUAAUCCUGAAACUAUGAAACUACUAGAAGAAAACAUUGGGAGAAACAUUUCAGGAUAUUAAGCUAGGCAAAGAUUUUUUUGUGUAAGACUUCAAAAGCACAGGCAACCAAAGCAAAAAUAGACAACUGGGAUGACAUCAAGUUAAAAAGCUCCUGCACAGCAAGGGAAACAAUCAACAAAGUAAAAUGAUAAUCAAUAGAAUGGGAUUUCUACAGUUUUAUCUCAAUUCAAUACCGACAUUAAUGCCACACAAUUCCAAGUGUUGCUCUUUCCCACAUGUUCAUCUCACUACAUAUUCAUUUGUUCUUACACACUCAAUAUUCAUAUUUUUCUUUCAAAAUCAACUUUGUUGAGAUAUAAUUUACAUACAAUAAAAUAUACCCAUUUUAAGUAUAUAUUUUGAAAAUGUACACCCAACUAACCACCACUACAAUUCAAGAUCUAAAACAUUUUCAGCACCUCAAAAUAUUUCCUAAUGUUCAUUUAUUGUAAAUUCUUCCUACUUACUCCCUAGUCUCAGGCAAUCACUGAUCUGCUUUCUGUUAAGACUGUUUUGCCUUUUUUCUUUUUAUUCAGAGUCUUGCUGUGUCACCCAGGCUGGAGUGCAGUGGCCCAAUCUCAACUCACUGCAACCUCCACCUCCCGGGUUCAAGCAAUUCUCCUCCCUCAGCCUCCCUAGUAGCUGGGAUUACAGGUGUGUGCCAUCAUAUCAAGCUAAUUUUUGUAGUUUUAGUAGAGAUGGGGUUUCAACAUGUUGGCCAGACUGGUCUCAAACUCCUGUGAUCCCCCUGCUUCGGCCUCCCAAAGGGCUGGGAUUACAGGCAUGAGCCACUGCGCCUGGCCUGUUUUGCCUAAAAUUUAAGUGUUUCUUGUGAAUGAAACUUUUGUGUCUGCCUGCUAUCACUCAGGAUAACAUUUAGAAUUUGCCUCUAUCAGUGGUCAUUCCAUUUUGUUGUUGAGUAGUACUUCAUUGUAUGAACAUUUACCUGUUUGUGGCAUUUGGGUUACUUCAAGAUAUUUGCUAUUAUCAAAAGAGCACCCUCCUAUGUUUGUGUUUUUAUUUCUCUGUAUUAAAUACCUAGGAGUAGAAUUACUGAUCAUACCAUAAAGUAUUUAUAAGACAUUGCCAAAGGUUUCCAUUGUAUUGCAAUGCUUAUUUUACUUCAUUUUAUUAUUUAUUUAUUUAUUUAUUUAAAACAGGGUCUUGCUUUUUCACCCGAUCUGGAGUGCAGUGGCUUGAUGAUGGCUUACUGCAUCCUCUAUCUCCUGGGCUCAAUCAAUCCUCCCACCUCAAUAUCCUGAGUAGCUGGGACUACAGGCACAUACUACCAUGCCCACCUAAUUUUUGUAUUUUUUGUAGAGACAGGGUUUCAGUGUGUUGCUUAGGCUGGUCUUGAACCCCCUGGCUCUAGCUGUCUGCCUGCGUCAGCCUCCUAAAGUGUUGGGAUUACAGGCGUGAGCCACCAUGCCUCGCCUUAUUUUAAAUAUAACGUUUUUAUAAAUUGGUUUGUUGUGUAAAUUUUUGUUUAAUGACUUGUUGACUAUAUUGUAAUCUGACCACACAAGGCUAGUGUGAAUGACUCAGGUAAGAGGGGAAUGAGAUGUUGGAUGAUUUAUCAUAGAUCAUAUACAAAGGGUCUUCAAACAGUUCAUGGAAAAGGUGUAUUAUUUUAAAAAUUAUGCAUGAAUUUCAAAUUUAUUUGCAUCAAAAUAAACUAACUUUUUAUAACAUGUCUGAACAGAGUCUAGUUUGAAGAACUAAGGAUAAGACAGUUUGAAAAGAGACCCUAUCAGAGCAAUAUUAACUCUGCUAAAAUUGAAGUAAGAACAAAUACCAAAUUUAUAAUGAAGCUUGGGAGGAAGAAUGGUGAAAUCAUUGAUACUUUACAAAAAGUUUAUAGGGAAAAUGCCCCCAAAGAAACAAGCAGUUUACAAAUUUUAAGAAGAGAUGAGAAUAUGUUGAAGAUGAAGCCCAUGGCAGCAGAUUACCAUAUCAAUUUUUGAGGAAAAUAAUUCAUCUUUUUCAUGCCCUAAUUGAAGAGGACUGAUGAUUAAAAGCUGAAACAAUAGCCAACACCACAAACAUCUCAAUUGGUUCAGCUUACAUCAUCUGACUGAAAAAUUGAAGUUGAGCAAACUUUCCACUUGAUGGGUACCAAAACUAUUGUACCCAGAUCAGCUGCAGAAAAAAACAGAGCUUUUAAUGGAAAUUUUAAACAAAUGGGAUCGAGAUCUUGAAGCAGUUUUUCAAAGAAUUCUAACAGGAGGUAAAACAUGUCUUUACCAGUACAAUCCUGAAAACAAAGUACAAUCAAAGCAAUGACUACCAAAAGUUGGCUGUGGUCCAGUCAAAGUAAAAGUGGACCAGUCAAGAGUGAAAGCAGUUCUUUGUGAUACUCAAGCAGCAGUUCUUUGUGAUACUCAAGGCACUUUGCCUGUUGAAUUUCUGGAGGGUUGACAAACAAUAACAUCUGCUUAUUAUGAAGAUAUUUUGAGAAAGCCACAACUUUAGCAGAAAAACACCCAGGAAAGAUUUACUAGUCUUUCUCCACCGUGUCAAUGCUCCUGCUCAUUCCUCUCAACACGUAAGUGCAACUUUGUGAAAGUUUCAACAGGAAAUCAUUAGGCAUCUACCUUCCAGUUCUAAUUUGGCUCCUCCAAACUUCUUUUCAUUUGCCAAGCUUGACAAACCUGUCAAGCACACCCAUUUUUCUCCAGUUAAUAAUGUAAAAAAGAUAGCAUUGGCAUGGUUAAAUUCCCAGAACUUUUAGUUAUUUAGGGAUGGACUAAAAGGCUGGCAUCAUUGCUUACAAAAGUAUCUUGAACUUGAUGGAGGUUAUUUUGAGAAAUAUAGUUUAUAUUUUUCAUUUUUGUCUUUUAAUUUCAUUUUUCUACAAACUAUUUGAAGUUCCCUCAUAUUAAAAGAAAGCAAGAUGGUGGUGGAAUAAUCAAGGCAUUUCUUGUUAGUACUCUUACCUUUCUUGAAAAUGUUUUUGGAGGUGAGCAAAUCAACAAGACUGUACUCAUAACAACUGUUUUUCUUGUAACACAGAACUUUUUCUGAAAAUUAGUUGUUCGCUUUUGCUAAAUCAUGGAAUGAACCAGAAGUACAGACUAGUUACAAAAAAAUAAUACUUUGAGAGUCUGGAGUGGUCAGAAGACACUUUUGUAAUGCAUUUACAAUGAUAUGUCUGAACACCUAAGUCAAGAGCAAACAAGUAUGCAAGUUACCAUACCCAUUUUCUCCAUAGUUGUCUGUACCAUCUAGACAAAUCUACAAAGGAUCAGUCUAAAAGAAUUGUCCCCUUAAUUGAGAUUUCUAUCUCACGACUAUGCUUCCUGGAGAAAAGUGUGCGUAAAUUAGAUUGAUUUCCCAUAAAACUUCAUGGGGAAAUUUAAACAUACACACAUAACCCCUCACUAUAAAUGAAGGAAAGGCUUCAGUUGCCAAAUCCAAACUCUAUACCUAUGAAUGCGAAUGCACUCUGCUUCUUUACCUUCCUACUAGCUUCUACAGUUGAAAUUUAGUGCAGAGUAAGUCAACAGAAAAUGUCAAAGUGUAAAGUCUUCAAAUCAAAGGAAGGCUGCAUAAUACUUCAGGCCCCAGUAAGUCAUCAGCAAAGCACUCUUGGAUGAUGAUAAAUCCAUCGUUAUGCUUCUUAAAUAAUUGAGGUUGAAAAUAAACUGCAAUAGCAAGGGAAUGGUGUAUUCCGGGCAUCACAAUUAUGUUCCUGUCACCCUACUACUAACUUCUGUCCAGCCUCAAAGCCAUUCAUUCAGGUACCUUCUUCCCCAAAUCCUCACAAUUCAGCAACAAAUCUAGACCACAGGCUUUACAGCAGUACAUUCCCAUAUUGUCUGGCAUCCAAAUGGUGUGCAAGUUCCCAUAUACUAAUUUAUUUUCUCCAAAAUAACUUCUUUUGACAUGCUGUAUACAAUCUGUACAAGUCACCUUCAAUACAGGAAUUUGUCUUAAUUAGUGACAAGAUACAUCUUCAUGCAAAAUAGUUCAUACUAACAAUGUACUUUUUGUGGUAUUGGGUCAGUGCAGAAGUACUUGCGAUUUUUGCCAUUAAAACUAAUGGCAAACCCAUUACUUUUUUCAUACCUACCUGCAUGUUUAGACAUUGAGUCUUAUAAUUAUCUUUUUGAAACUGAUUCUCUAUCUCUGUGUGUGUAUAUGUGUGUGUAUACACACAUGUGCACAUGUGAAUAUGCAUGUAUAACAUGGUCAUUUUUGUUUAGUAAUAACCAAGAAGCUUUUACUUCAGAGUAAUUUAAGAUAAAUACUGGGAAAUCAUAAAUGUCCACUAAAACUAUCUAAGUACUAUGCAUAUAUGGUUCAUAUAAUAACCAUGAAAUCUAAAUGCUUUCUGGUUAUUACCAAACAAAUAUUACUUUGUAAUCAGGUUGUAAUUACUAAUGACAUUAUAUAAAUUACUCUGGGGAUAAUUACAUUACGCCAAGCAAAUAAUCUGUAUUUUAGUUUAUUUUUAAAAUGCUACAUUACAAUGCAAUUAUUUAUAAUAAGAUAUCUUUUAAUAUUUAUUUUAAAAUUUAUUUCACUUCUAAGACUGCUGGUAGAAUGCUUUCCAGAUGUUUGCAUUUUUGGUUAAUUGCUAUAUAUGAAAUAUGUUAGAGCUCACAAUAUAUGUCAAAAACUGCACACUGCAAUCAUUAACAUAAAUGACCUGAGUUCUUUUUCUGACAGUCUACCAUAAUGAUUAAUUACCGCCAUUCGAAACUCACAAUUUCACACUGGCUUUCCUGAGUAGGAGGGUAAAAUCUUGGCUAUUACUGCUGUCCAUUACACACUAACUUACUGGAUUUAGUCAUUGAAUUCUAAGUAAACAUUUUCCUUUCAAGCAAUUAAAAU